GACGGAGGGGGCAAGCGUUGUUCGGAAUUAUUGGGCGUAAAGGGCGCGUAGGCGGAUCGGCGUGUCUGGCGUGAAAUCUCCACCACUCAACGGGGAGAGGCCGUCGGAAACUACCGAUCUGGAGUUCGGCAGAGGAUCAUGGAAUUCCGGGUGUAGCGGUGGAAUGCGUAGAUAUCCGGAAGAACACCGGUGGCGAAGGCGGUGAUCUGGGCCGAAACUGACGCUGAGGCGCGAAAGCUAGGGGAGCAAACGGG
rnacentral:rRNA from 1 species